rnacentral:rRNA from 1 species
AUGUUAUGUAGCGGACCUGCUCUAAAAUUGAUUAUAUGAUAGUGUGCGUGUGUGAGAGGCUUCGGGGGUUGAGAUUUUUUGUCCAGAAAAAAAUUGGGGUAUAUAUGGGGAGGAUGAUACCGGAGGAAUAAUCACCGGCUGACUACGUGCUAGCAGCCGCGGCAUACUUAGGGUGCGUGCGUUGUCGGAAUUACUGGGUGUAAAGCGUGCGCACGCGGUUUGCUUACACCGAUGUGAAAUCCCCGGGCUCAACCUGGGAAGUGAAUUGGUGACUGGCUGGCUAGAGUAUGGCAGAGGGGGGGGGAAUUCCACUUGUAGCAGUGUAAUGCGUAAAGUACAGGAGG